UUUGGAUCAAAGAUUGAAACUUUAUACUGCGUUAUCUAUCUGAUCAUACCUUCUUUGCGAGGAACUGAAGAUAACACUAAUCUCAUACUGAGAUCCAGU